AGAUAAUCCCAGAAAAACAAAGCUUACACACGAAAAGGAAAUUCAUAGGUAAAGUCCAUGGGCACCACAAUUUUGAUUUUCAUUUAUGUGUUGGAUUAUUUCUCUCACCCGAACUAUUAACUCUGGAAUUGAUAAUCAACCCACACAAGGGAAGGGACAGAGAAUUCUUCUGUGUAAGGCAGAGAUUGAGCUAUCUCGGCUAGAUUGAACAGUGCAAAACCAAGAGGUUUAGUUAGUUUCUAACAUUUGGUUAGGUUCCUUUCCAUCUACCCAAUGUCUAGACAGGCAAAUGAUGAGGGGUGGGGCAGAACUCGUUCCUGACCACUCUUACUAAAGACGUCUUCAUGUGCAAUGUCACUGGUUAUGCGAGUUUGUUUGUAUUAUCUUUGAACUUAAUGUAUAUUACUCUGCCUUUGUCAACAUCCGCUCCUUUCUCCUUUAAACCUUAAAACUAUUCCAGAUGCUGUGCAGAUGUAAAGCCGUUG
rnacentral:lncRNA from 1 species